GAUGAACGCUAGCUACAGGCUUAACACAUGCAAGUCGAGGGGCAGCAGGGAUUUAGCUUGCUAAAUUCGCUGGCGACCGGCGCACGGGUGCGUAACGCGUAUCCAACUUUCCCGUUACUCAGGGAUAGCCUUCCGAAAGGGAGAUUAAUACCUGAUGGUGUUUGAAGUUCGCAUGUUCUUCAAACUAAAGAUUUAUCGGUAACGGAUGGGGAUGCGUGACAUUAGAUAGUAGGCGGGGUAACGGCCCACCUAGUCUACGAUGUCUAGGGGUUCUGAGAGGAAGGUCCCCCACACUGGAACUGAGACACGGUCCAGACUCCUACGGGAGGCAGCAGUGAGGAAUAUUGGUCAAUGGUCGGAAGACUGAACCAGCCAAGUAGCGUGAAGGAUGAAGGUUCUAUGGAUUGUAAACUUCUUUUAUACGGGAAUAAAACCUCCCACGUGUGGGAGCUUGUAUGUACCGUAUGAAUAAGCAUCGGCU
rnacentral:rRNA from 1 species